GUCUCCGUGGCCGAAUGGCGAGGCAGCGGUCUGCAAAGCCGCGCACACCGGUUCGAUUCCGGUCGGAGACUCCA
rnacentral:tRNA from 2 species